AUUGAACGCUGGCGGCAUGCUUUACACAUGCAAGUCGAACGGUAACAGGCCUUCGGGUGCUGACGAGUGGCGAACGGGGGAGUAAUGCAUCGGAACGUACCCAGAGGUGGGGGAUAACGCAGCGAAAGCUGGGCUAAUACCGCAUGUGAUCUGAGGAUGAAAGCGGGGGACCGAGCAGCAAUGUUUGGCCUCGCGCCUUUGGAGCGGCCGAUGUCGGAUUAGCUAGUUGGUGGGGUAAAGGCCUACCAAGGCGACGAUCCGUAGCUGGUCUGAGAGGACGACCAGCCACACUGGGACUGAGACACGGCCCAGACUCCUACGGGAGGCAGCAGUGGGGAAUUUUGGACAAUGGGCGCAAGCCUGAUCCAGCAAUGCCGCGUGCGGGAAGAAGGCCUUCGGGUUGUAAACCGCUUUUGGCAGGAACGAAACGGUGUCCGCUAAUACCGGGCGCUAAUGACGGUACCUGCAGAAUAAGCACCGGCUAACUACGUG
rnacentral:rRNA from 1 species